UUUCAACCAGCCAGUCAUGAAGCAAAUAAUAUCCACUGAAUACAGACAAGUGUCCAGGGUUCCCGGGGCAGCACGGUCCCUCCGAGCUGGUCUACAGCGCCCCCUGCUGCUGUUUAUGAUUGAGACUGCACCUGUCUUCAACUCCAGAUACCAGCUCCAGCUCUAGCCAAGGAGACAGUUAAAACAGCUGGGCCAGCCAGCAUGGG